rnacentral:rRNA from 1 species
AGUGAACGCUGGCGGUAGGCCUAACACAUGCAAGUCGAACGGCAGCACAGUAAGAGCUUGCUCUUACGGGUGGCGAGUGGCGGACGGGUGAGGAAUACAUCGGAAUCUACUUUUUCGUGGGGGAUAACGUAGGGAAACUUACGCUAAUACCGCAUACGACCUACGGGUGAAAGCAGUGGAUCUUCGGACCUUGCGCGAUUGAAUGAGCCGAUGUCGGAUUAGCUAGUUGGCGGGGUAAAGGCCCACCAAGGCGACGAUCCGUAGCUGGUCUGAGAGGAUGAUCAGCCACACUGGAACUGAGACACGGUCCAGACUCCUACGGGAGGCAGCAGUGGGGAAUAUUGGACAAUGGGCGCAAGCCUGAUCCAGCCAUACCGCGUGAGUGAAGAAGGCCUUCGGGUUGUAAAGCCCUUUUGUUGGGGAAGAAAAGCAGCAGGUUAAUACCCCGCUGUUCUGACGGUACCCAAAGAAUAAGCACCGGCUAACUUCGUG